rnacentral:rRNA from 1 species
GACGAACGCUGGCGGCGUGCUUAACACAUGCAAGUCGAACGGAAAGGCCAUGCUUUUGUGGGGUGCUCGAGUGGCGAACGGGUGAGUAACACGUGAGUAACCUGCACUUGACUUUGGGAUAACUUCAGGAAACUGGGGAUAAUACCGGAUAGGAGCUCCUGCUGCAUGGUGGGGGUUGGAAAGUUUCGGCGGUUGGGGAUGGACUCGCGGCUUAUCAGCUUGUUGGUGGGGUAGUGGCUUACCAAGGCUUUGAAGGGUAGCCGGCCUGAGAGGGUGACCGGCCACAUUGGGACUGAGAUACGGCCCAGACUCCUACGUGAGGCAGCAGUGGGGAAUAUUGCACAAUGGGCGGAAGCCUGAUGCAGCAACGCCGCGUGCGGGAUGACGGCCUUCGGGUUGUAAACCGCUUUCGCCUGUGACGAAGCGUGAGUGACGGUAAUGGGUCAAGAAGCACCGGCUAACUACGUG